AAGACCUUGCGCUUUUGGAGCGGCCGAUGCCUGAUUAGCUUGUUGGUAAGGUAAAAGCUUACCAAGGCUUCGAUCAGUAGCUGGUCUGAGAGGACGGCCAGCCACACUGGGACUGAGACACGGCCCAGACUCCUACGGGAGGCAGCAGUGGGGAAUUUUGGACAAUGGGGGCAACCCUGAUCCAGCCAUGCCGCGUGAGUGAAGAAGGCCUUCGGGUUGUAAAGCUCUUUCAGCCGGAACGAAACGGUUACGGUUAAUACCCGUGACUACUGACGGUACCGGAAGAAGAAGCACCGGCUAACUACGUGCCAGCAGCCGCGGUAAUACGUAGGGUGCAAGCGUUAAUCGGAAUUACUGGGCGUAAAGGGUGCGCAGGCGGUUUUGUAAGUCAGAUGUGAAAUCCCCGGGCUUAACCUGGGAACU
rnacentral:rRNA from 1 species